rnacentral:rRNA from 1 species
AUUGAACGCUGGCGGCAGGCCUAACACAUGCAAGUCGAGCGGAGCGGCGGUGGGGUGAGUAAUGCCUAGGAAUCUGCACGGUAGUGGUAGAUAACGUCCGGAAACGGGCGCUAAUACCGCAUACUAUCAGAUUAGCCUAGGUCGGAUUAGCUAGUUGGGGGGGUAAAGGCCUACCAAGGCAACGAUCCGUAACUGGUCGGAGAGGAUGAUCAGUCACACUGGAACUGAGACACGGCCCAGACGCCUACGGGAGGCAGCAGUGGGGAAUAUUGGACAAUGGGCGAAAGCCUGAUCCAGCCAUGCCGCGUGUAUGAAGAAGGUCUUCGGAUUGUAAAGCACUUUAAGUUGGGAGGCGUUACCAACAGAAUAAGCACCGGCUAACUACGUGCCAGCAGCCGCGGUAAUAC